rnacentral:rRNA from 1 species
UGGGGAAUAUUGCACAAUGGGCGCAAGCCUGAUGCAGCCAUGCCGCGUGUAUGAAGAAGGCCUUCGGGUUGUAAAGUACUUUCAGCGGGGAGGAAGGGAGUAAAGUUAAUACCUUUGCUCAUUGACGUUACCCGCAGAAGAAGCACCGGCUAACUUCGUGCCAGCAGCCGCGGUAAUACGGAGGGUGCAAGCGUUAAUCGGAAUUACUGGGCGUAAAGCGCACGCAGGCGGUUUGUUAAGUCAGAUGUGAAAUCCCCGGGCUCAACCUGGGAACUGCAUCCGAUACUGCUAAGCUUGAGUCUCGUAGAGGAGGGUAGAAUUCCAGGUGUAGCGGUGAAGUGCGUAGAGAUCUGGAGGAAUACCGGUGGCGAAGGCGGCCCCCUGGACAAAGACUGACGCUCAGGUGCGAAAGCGUGGGGAGCAAACAGG